CAAGUAAUUCAACGAUCCUUGAGUAAUUCUAUAAAAAGAAGACAAUAAAAAAUCCAGAGGAUACUUAGCUUUGUUUUUUAGUUCCUGUUUCAUGAAUAUUGGCUUAAACUUGCUCUAAGGAAUCUUAACAUUGCGUUUACAGCAAGAAGGUACUUACAGUAUUCCCAAGAAAUCCACUGGAUCUGAAAGAGCUAAAUCUCUGCAAGUUACUCCUAAUCUGCCAGGUGUGAAGAAUCAGGACCACACAUUAAACUCCAAGGCAAAAGACAAGAGCUACUAGAAAGGAGGGAAAACAAACAAACAAAAAUGGUCAAACAUACUUCUAAUCUUUCAAGCAAGAAGAGAGUUUCAAACAAUUCUCAUGAGCAGAGUGAGAUGUUCUUAAACUGGUUAUCUGUGUUUGCAAGACACAACUGCUUCAGCUUGCUGUGAGCUGGAGUAAAUAGU